CUUCCAUGGAAACCCCAUUCCAAAACCCAAGCGGAGGUGCAGGGUGGUGCGGACCAUGAAAACAAUGGUGUACGGGAAGUGAUUCUGGGGGAUAGAUCGGUGAUUCGUUUAGGCUCGCACCAAAAAUGGCCCAACCAGGACCAACCAAAAGGGCACAAAACUUUAAAAAGAACCUGGAAUGAAGUAUGAGUUCGCCGAAAGAGGGUGACAUCUUCAAUAACCUGAAUGGAGCAACGCACGACGAACAUAUAUUCACAAAUCGAAGCAGUAACACGCUCCACUCCACGUCGAAGCUCACCUGCCUUGCGUUCGUGGAUUCACUUCUUCAACAAUCACGUCACUCUCCACGUCGACCAUCAUAUUCAAGCUUGGGGAUCCAUUCGGACGGUGAUGCCGUUCGUGUAGUGAUGCGGAUGAUGAAGGAUGAUCGAUGAAGUUCCUUGCGGAGUGUUGUUGAUUGACCCGAGGAUGAAUGCUUUCGACUUUUGCCAUUACGAAUCAGUAUCCUUCUUCUCCCUAGUGUAACUGCUUCUUCUUCUGCUUUUCUGUUCGCUUCUGUAUGUGCGGGAAGUUGUGAAAGAAUGGUUUUCCUUUUUUCUUUUUGUUCUCUGUUUUGAAGGUUCUGGUUCUUCAAGAAUAUGGUCGGGAGUUAUCGGUGGUUUGAGAGCAUUUCCAAUGAAGGUUUGUGAGUUCCCUCAAAGGGUGAUUGAAUGGUGGUUUUCGAUUAUUAUCAGGGAAGAAUGUGAGAAGGCGGUGAUGAAGGUUGUUGAAGAGUUAUGGAGGCGUGAAAUUAUGGAAGUUGUUGAAGAAUUCUGGAGUAUGUUAUCAAGUGGUUGAAGAAGUUAGCUGGAAGUGGAGAUUGCUAUCAGUUGAGAGAAAAAGAUCCUCCUGGAUGAUGGCAACUCGUAAGCAUGGUGCUCGUUAUUUAUUUCGGUUAAUGUCUGAAUCAGUUAGAAUAAGUUGUGAACUUAGAUGUUAGUUUUUUCCAACGAAAAAUUAGUUAUUGCUAAGUGAGUUAGGUUAAUUGAAGUGUGGUUUUUGUUUGUUGCAAGUUCUGGUCUGGUAUGAUACUCAGAAGCUUCUCUAGCUCGUACUUCUUCUGAUGUCUCCGAUUGCUCCACUCACCCAAGCUUAUAUCCACAAACAAACAGGUCUUUUUUGGAAGCAUCAUCGGUCCCACUUCCAGAUAUAUUAACCUGCCGGCGUUUUCCCACACCACUGAAUGUCAUUUUCCAAUUGAUCUCGUCGUGCAGAAUGCCUUUGCAGCAGGGGUAAUUGAAGAAAACCAGCUUGCGACUGGUUGGGUUCAAGAGUUCUAUUUUUUUUCUUAAUCUUCAUUUUAUAUUGAAUCGGUUAAUAUUGUUUAGGUAAUGAUGGUUCAGGACUAGUGUGAACUUACUUGUUAUUGACAUAGUUCUUGGUUAAAAGGAACUUAGUUGGGACUGACUCUAAUAUUAGGCAAACAUGUGAACUAAUGCUUAGAUUACUAGUUUCACUUAAAGUUACUUGUUGGACCUCUUUCUCUUUUCAGUGCAGAACUUAACUAAGUUGUGGUAAAAAUACAAGUCGAUUGAAUGCUUAUUAAUGGGUGAUCACUUUGUUCUAUUUUGGAUAAUGUUAUUGAAUGACUUGUAUGUUGUAAAAUUUGAAAUGGCCUUUGUUUCAUGUUGGAACUCUGACUUGGUCUGUACACUUCUGACUUGGUUCAGCUUACGUUUUGGCUUAUUUCUGCAGCAUACGUACACCUUUGGCUGGCCUUGCAGGUACAUGGAUGUAGGCCCGUGGCUUGUUCGUAGAUGAUAAUUGGCUUUUGUAAGAUGGGCAUACAUGAAGGUGGAUGAAUAAAACUUGAAAAAAGGCUUGUAAAUUAAGAAAAUGUUGAAUUUAGUUUUAGGUAGUUUAUACUUGAAUGAAUUGGAAAUGGAAUUUUGUUGUAAUUGAAUGUGCAAAUGAAAAGGUAUUUUGGAUUGAAAUUAGUUGUAUGAACUUGUAAUGGAUAUAUUUAGAAAUUGAAUGAUUGUAAUUGGGAAAUGGUUAUUGGAUUAAAUCAAAUGGUUUCUAUAGAAAAUAAGGGAUUAAAGA